rnacentral:SRP_RNA from 1 species
GCCAGGUAUGGUGGUGCAUGCCUGUAGUCCCAGCUGCUUGGGAGGCUGAGGCAGGAAGAUUGCUUGAGCCUAGGAGGUUAAGGCUGCAGUGAGCUGUGAUCACGCCACUGCACUCUAGCCUGGGUGACAGAGUGAGACCCUGUCUCAA